rnacentral:rRNA from 1 species
CCUACGGGAGGCUGCAGUGGGGGAUAUUGGACAAUGGGGGGAACCCUGAUCCAGCGACGCCGCGUGAGUGAAGAAGUAUUUCGGUAUGUAAAGCUCUUUCAGCAGGGAAGAAAGAAAUGACGGUACCUGACCAAGAAGCCCCGGCUAACUACGUGCCAGCAGCCGCGGUAAUACGUAGGGGGCAAGCGUUAUCCGGAAUUACUGGGUGUAAAGGGGGCGUAGACGGUUAAGUAAGUCUGGAGUGAAAGGCCGGGGCCCAACCCCGGGACUGCUCUGGAAACUAUUGAACUUGAGUGCAGGAGAGGUAAGCGGAAUUCCUGGUGUAGCGGUGAAAUGCGUAGAUAUUAGGAGGAACACCAGUGGCGAAGGCGGCUUACUGGACUGUAACUGACGUUGAGGCUCGAAAGCGUGGGGAGCAAACAGGAUUAGAUACCCUAGUAGUC